rnacentral:lncRNA from 1 species
AAGUAUUAAUAGCUAUAGAUUGAAAUUUACGAAUUUUUUCUUAAUUUGACGCCCACGCACGGGCACGUCAGGGGGGGAUACUGUUGUUUAUGUUGAAACUUGGAAAUGGUUUUCAUAAAACUAUUUAAUUAAUAUUAUUGUUUAAAAUUUAACUAAAAUGUGAUUAAAAUCUCCUAAAAAUUCUACACGGAGCUGAUCAUUUCUUUUUUAGUGAAUGAAUUUUAGUGCUACAUUCUGACACCAGACGGCGCUUCGGUAGAAAAAUUUUCAAAUGGCAAUUUAGGGAGAAUGCCCUUAAACACGGAAAACGACGUCCAUUGUCGCAAAAUCAGUUGAUAUGUUGAAGAGCAACGAUGACGAAAAAUUUUACGUCGAAUCGUUUGGGAUGGCCUGCAGGAUCAACCGUUUUCCAGAUUUUUUUUUCUACUAACUACUAAUUAUCGGAAGUGAAUAGAAUUCUGAAGAUGAGAAAGAUAAUUGGAUAAGAAGGAAAAGGAUUGCUCUAAAGAGAGUUUAAAAAUAGAUAUUGAGAAAAUAAAUCGAUCGAUAUAAAUACUACUACUCCAGAACUUUUUAUUUUCAUCAAAUAUCGCAGUAUAGAGAAAUAACCGAUUACAAAUAAAGUGAAAUUAAUAUUAUUAAAAUAUGCAAUCAAAAGUGGUUUGUUCAUUGUUGAAAGUAUGUAGAUGUAGUUUAUGAAAACGUAAAAUAAAAGAAAAUUUAACUGAAACUACUUACGAAAAAUAAAGUAACUUAAAUAUGUAAUGCACUAUAGACAACUAUAAAUUAGACAUAAAACAAUAUUAUUUUUAUACAAAUAGAAGAGAACAAUUAUAUUUUUUUAAUAGAUUAACUUACUUAGGACACAAAAAAAUCUAUGUGAACAUCUAUGAAAAAUAAUUAUUCAAGAUACAAUCUUUGAUUUUAUAAUCACAAUUAUUAAUUUUUUAAGUGUUCCAUUACUUUUAAAUACUAUUUAUAUUUAACUGCCUAUCAAAAACGUUUGAAGUUCUGCAGAAAAUUCAUUAUUUUUUAAAUUAAGCAUUUUUUUUUGAAAUAGAUUUUUGUGUUUUGGGAUUUUAAAAGAAUUGUUAUUAACUAGAUUUAAUAGUGCUUUGGUAAAUAUCUGAUUAAACUUCCAAAUUAAUUACUCAGUAAGGUUUGAUCGUAUUUAACUAAAGUAAAUGAGGAAAAUAAUUUUACGUUGAAAAAAUAACGUUUGAGCUUCAUACACAAUAAAAAAUUAAAAUUUCAUUGAAAGAUUUUCAAUAAUAAUAUAAAAAAAAAUUGGAACUGAACAUAAUUAUCACGAUUGUUCUAUUUUUGAUAUCUUUGUGUUUACAUUAUAUAGAAUUUGAAUUUAAACUGUGAUUUCUAUUUUUACAACGACACCAACCAAUACUGUGAAAGAUAUAGUAUGGCAGUGAUAAAAGAUUUUGGUUUUCAUCACAUAAUUUUCUCUAUUAUUUAUCUUUCUUUGAGUGACUUAUACACACCUAAUAUUUUUACUUAUUGCCUUUAAAUUUUGCUGAUUCACUGUAUUAUGAAAAUAUUACUUUUUUAACAUUUUUAUGAUUACAUUCAUUUCAUGCUAACGCAUUGUGAUAAAAAAAAUAUAUAAAUAUAUCUGUUUUGUCAAUUUCUUGAUAAUUAUUCCGCAAUUUAAUAAAAAAUUAUACCUUGCAUUAAUCUAGAAUGAUAUUCAAUAAACAAUGACUUAUCAAAAUCUCAAAAAUAUAAAUAUUAUAGUUAUUUAAUAAGUAAUUAAAAUCAAAUAAAACAUAAACGAUGGUUAACAAUGAGUUAUAUAAAUGAUCUUGAUUAUUAAGUGGUUGCUUUACAUGUCACUUCUUCACAUUUGAUAAUGAAUUUAUAAAACAUAUUUGAUUUUAAAUAGAUAGUUUAUCAUUUUGUUAAAUAGUAUUAGCACAAUAGAAUUCCGAUUUACAAUUAUUUACUAUGUAAUAUUAUUAUUUCAUUUAUUCUAAAUAUAUAUUCAUCACAGUGCUACGGACACAAAAAUGUGUUCUGUUUUAAAUAUGCAAAUAAUACAUAAAUAUAUAGUCCAAUCUUGUUAUGCUCAUGUGUUACAAGACUUUUCUCCUUAAUUUGAUAAAAAUAGCUGGGAAAAAUUAUCCUCAAGAACAAUUUGAUGAAAAUUUCGUGACCGAACCUCGCCAUAAAACUGACAAUUUCAAAAAAAACGAUUAUACGAAGUUUAGUAUUACUUAUCAUCUUAAUCAUAUUAUAAGAAACGGAAACAUUGAAGACAUCAAACUCCGUAAAUUUCUAAGAUUUUUUUCUUUAACAGUCCUAAAUGAAACAUAAAAAGAUCGGACUCUAUAUAUAUAUAUAUAUAUAUAUAAAUUUAAUUUUAUAACAGGAAUUUCUUUAUGUAGAUAUCACGUGAGCUGGCUAUAUAUAUAUAUACUUUUUUUUUUCGAAUUUUUUUUCACCGAAAAUAUAAACAUUCAAAAAUAUUAUAAUUUUAUUUUAUUUAUUAUUCAAUGUCUAAUGUACAAUACUGAAUAAAAACGAAA